UACGUAGGGUGCAAGCGUUUGUCCGGAAUUAUUGGGCGUAAAGAGCUCGUAGGCGGUUUGUCGCGUCUGCUGUGAAAACCCGAGGCUCAACCUCGGGCCUGCAGUGGGUACGGGCAGACUAGAGUGCGGUAGGGGAGAUUGGAAUUCCUGGUGUAGCGGUGGAAUGCGCAGAUAUCAGGAGGAACACCGAUGGCGAAGGCAGGUCACUGGGCCGCAACUGACGCUGAGGAGCGAAAAGCAUGGGGAGCGAACAGG
rnacentral:rRNA from 1 species